AGAUUAAGCCAUGCAUGUGCAAGUGCAUACUUUUGACACGGUGAAACCGCGAACGGCUCAUUAAAUCAGUCAAGGUUCCUUAGAUCGUACUUGAUUACUUGGAUAACUGUGGCAAUUCUAGAGCUAAUACAUGCACGAAGCUCCGACUUUCCGGCGACGGUUGGGAAGAGCGCAUUUAUCAGCACAAGACCAACGGGCGGUGCUUCCUCACGGGGCCCGUCCUCAAAGGCUUGGUGACUCUGGAUAACUUUUGCGGAUCGCACGGCCCUCGAGCCGGCGACGCAUCUUUCAAACGUCUGCCUUAUCAACUUUCGAUGGUACGUGACAUGCCUACCAUGGUCGUAACGGGUGACGGGGAAUCAGGGUUCGAUUCCGGAGAGGGAGCAUGAGAAAUGGCUACCACAUCCAAGGAAG
rnacentral:rRNA from 1 species